AGAUAGGUGCCUGAAAAGGCUUAAUAGGGAAGUUCGGUGUAAUACCGACGCGGUCCCGCCACUGUAAUGAGGAGCUCCUCUAAAAUAUACCACUGGAAUAGAGUAUUCUGGGAAGGUUUAGAGUAGCUAUGAUCCAGAGCCAGGAGAACUGCCUGUCUAG
rnacentral:ncRNA from 1 species